UGGGGUCCGCGCAUGCGCGCGAGAGCCCGAGUGACCGCUGCGAGGCCAGAGAGAAGGAAGCCUCUGCUCUUGGCUCCGUGCGGCCAAGCUUGGCUUCAGAUCCGCCCGAGGCUCUUGUGGCUAUGGCCAGGCCCAGGCGUGGGAGUCGACAUUCAGGAGGCUGAUCCUCUACAAGCCAAGCCAGAAAAAGCCAUGGUCCCGAUUUAGCCUACUGACCAUUGGUGUGCAGUCUCAGGUCUACGUCUUAAACCUCUUUACUACAUCAUAAAUUUGGUAGCAACAUAAUUGGGAGAUUCCUCUCAAGGGAGGGCUGCUGGAUGCAGAAUUCAGGAACCUGGCUUGCCUGCCUGCAGCCAUCUGCUACAUUAAAGAAGGCCUCCUAUGGCUGGAAUCCAAAA